AUUGAACGCUGGCGGCAGGCCUAACACAUGCAAGUCGAGCGGAUGAAGGGAGCUUGCUCCUGGAUUCAGCGGCGGACGGGUGAGUAAUGCCUAGGAAUCUGCCUGGUAGUGGGGGAUAACGUCUGGAAACGGGCGCUAAUACCGCAUACGUCCUGAGGGAGAAAGUGGGGGAUCUUCGGACCUCACGCUAUCAGAUGAGCCUAGGUCGGAUUAGCUAGUUGGUGGGGUAAAGGCCUACCAAGGCGACGAUCCGUAACUGGUCUGAGAGGAUGAUCAGUCACACUGGAACUGAGACACGGUCCAGACUCCUAAGGGAGGCAGCAGUGGGGAAUAUUGGACAAUGGGCGAAAGCCUGAUCCAGCCAUGCCGCGUGUGUGAAGAAGGUCUUCGGAUUGUAAAGCACUUUAAGUUGGGAGGAAGGGCAGUAAGUUAAUACCUUGCUGUUUUGACGUUACCAACAGAAUAAGCACCGGCUAACUUCGUG
rnacentral:rRNA from 1 species